GACGAACGCUGGCGGCGUGCUUAACACAUGCGAGUCGAACGGAAAGGCCCCUUUGGGGGUACUCGAGUGGCGAACGGGUGAGUAACACGUGAGUAACCUGCCCUUGACUUCGGGAUAACUUCAGGAAACUGGGGCUAAUACCGGAUAGGAAUCCUUGCUGCAUGGGGGGGGUUGGAAAGCUUCGGCGGUUUUGGAUGGACUCGCGGCUUAUCAGCUUGUUGGUGGGGUAGUGGCUUACCAAGGCUUUGACGGGUAGCCGGCCUGAGAGGGCGACCGGCCACAUUGGGACUGAGAUACGGCCCAGACUCCUACGGGAGGCAGCAGUGGGGAAUAUUGCACAAUGGGCGGAAGCCUGAUGCAGCAACGCCGCGGGCGGGAUGACGGCCUUCGGGUUGUAAACCGCUUUCAGCAGGGGCGAAGCUUGUGGUGACGGUACCUGCAGAAGAAGCACCGGCUAACUACGUG
rnacentral:rRNA from 1 species